GACGAACGCUGGCGGCGUGCUUAACACAUGCAAGUCGAACGAUGAAGCGGUGCUUGCACCGUGGAUUAGUGGCGAACGGGUGAGUAAUACGUGAGUGACCUACCUUUGACUCUGGGAUAAGCCUGGGAAACUGGGUCUAAUACCGGAUACGACCAAUCUCUGCAUGGGGUGUUGGUGGAAAGCGUUAUGGAGUGGUUUUAGAUGGGCUCACGGCCUAUCAGCUUGUUGGUGAGGUAAUGGCUUACCAAGGCGACGACGGGUAGCCGGCCUGAGAGGGUGACCGGCCACACUGGGACUGAUACACGGCCCAGACUCCUACGGGAGGCUGCAGUGGGGAAUAUUGCACAUUGGGCGCAAGUGUGAGGGGGCGACUCCGCGUGAGGGAUGACGGCCUUCGGGUUGUACACCUCUGUUAGCAUCGAAGAAGCGAAAGUGACUGUAGGUGCAGAUAAAGCGCCGGCUAACUACGUGCUCACUGUCGCGGUAAUUCUUAGGGCUCGAGCGUUGUCCGGAAUUUUUGGGCGUAAAGAGUUUGUAUGCGGUUGGUCGCGUCUGCUGUGAAGGCCGGGGCUUAUCUCCGGUUUUGCAGUGGGUACGGGCUAACUAGAGUGCAGUAGGGGAGACUGGAAUUCCUGGUGUAGCGGUGGAAUGCACAGAUAUCAGGAGGAACACCGAUGGCGAAGGCAGGUCUCUGGGCUGUAACUGACGCUGAGAAGCGAAAGCAUGGGGAGCGAACAGGAUUAGAUACCCUGGUAGUCCAUGCCGUAAACGUUGGGCACUAGGUGUGGGGGACAUUCCACGUUUUCCGCGCCGUAGCUAACGCAUUAAGUGCCCCGCCUGGGGAGUACGGCCGCAAGGCUAAAACUCAAAGGAAUUGACGGGGGCCCGCACAAGCGGCGGAGCAUGCGGAUUAAUUCGAUGCAACGCGAAGAACCUUACCAAGGCUUGACAUGCAUUAGAUCGCGUCAGAGAUGGCGUUUCCCUUCGGGGCUGGUGUACAGGUGGUGCAUGGUUGUCGUCAGCUCGUGUCGUGAGAUGUUGGGUUAAGUCCCGCAACGAGCGCAACCCUCGUUCUAUGUUGCCAGCGGUUCGGCCGGGGACUCAUAGGAGACUGCCGGGGUUAACUCGGAGGAAGGUGGGGAUGACGUCAAAUCAUCAUGCCCCUUAUGUCUUGGGCUUCACGCAUGCUACAAUGGCCGGUACAGAGGGUUGCGAUACUGUGAGGUGGAGCUAAUCCCUUAAAGCCGGUCUCAGUUCGGAUUGGGGUCUGCAACUCGACCCCAUGAAGUCGGAGUCGCUAGUAAUCGCAGAUCAGCAACGCUGCGGUGAAUACGUUCCCGGGCCU
rnacentral:rRNA from 1 species